AACGAACGCUGGCGGCAUGCCUAACACAUGCAAGUCGAACGAGACCUUCGGGUCUAGUGGCGCACGGGUGCGUAACGCGUGGGAACCUGCCCUUAGGUUCGGAAUAACUCCCCGAAAGGGGUGCUAAUACCGGAUAAUGUCUUCGGACCAAAGAUUUAUCGCCUUUGGAUGGGCCCGCGUUGGAUUAGCUAGUUGGUAGGGUAAAAGCCUACCAAGGCGACGAUCCAUAGCUGGUCUGAGAGGAUGAUCAGCCACACUGGGACUGAGACACGGCCCAGACUCCUACGGGAGGCAGCAGUGGGGAAUAUUGGACGAUGGGCGAAAGCCGGAUCCAGCAAUGCCGCGUGAGUGAUGAAGGCCUUAGGGUUGUAAAGCUCUUUUGCCCGGGAUGAUAAUGACAGUACCGGGAGAAUAAGCUCCGGCUAACUCCGUG
rnacentral:rRNA from 1 species